rnacentral:rRNA from 1 species
UAGCUAGUUGGUGAGGUAAAGGCUUACCAAGGCGACGAUCUGUAGCGGGUCUGAGAGGAUGAUCCGCCACACUGGAACUGAGACACGGUCCAGACUCCUACGGGAGGCAGCAGUGGGGAAUUUUGGACAAUGGGGGCAACCCUGAUCCAGCCAUGCCGCGUGAGUGAAGAAGGCCUUCGGGUUGUAAAGCUCUUUCGGCCGGGAAGAAAUCGCAUGGGCCAAUACCCUGUGUGGAUGACGGUACCGGAAUAAGAAGCACCGGCUAACUACGUGCCAGCAGCCGCGGUAAUACGUAGGGUGCGAGCGUUAAUCGGAAUUACUGGGCGUAAAGCGUGCGCAGGCGGUUUUGUAAGACAGGCGUGAAAUCCCCGGGCUUAACCUGGGAACUGCGUUUGUGACUGCAAGGCUAGAGUACGGCAGAGGGGGGUGGAAUUCCACGUGUAGCAGUGAAAUGCGUAGAGAUGUGGAGGAACACCAAUGGCGAAGGCAGCCCCCUGGGUCGAUACUGACGCUCAUGCACGAAAGCGUGGGUAGCAAACAGGAUUAGAUACCCUGGUAGUCCACGCCCUAAACUAUGUCAACUAGGUGUUGGGUGGGUAAAACCAUUUAGUACCGUAGCUAACGCGUGAAGUUGACCGCCUGGGGAGUACGGCCGCAAGGUUAAAACUCAAAGGAAUUGACGGGGACCCGCACAAGCGGUGGAUGAUGUGGAUUAAUUCGAUGCAACGCGAAAAACCUUACCUACCCUUGACAUGCCAGGAACUUGCCAGAGAUGGCUUGGUGCCCGAAAGGGAGCCUGGACACAGGUGCUGCAUGGCUGUCGUCAGCUCGUGUCGUGAGAUGUUGGGUUAAGUCCCGCAACGAGCGCAACCCUUGUCGUUAAUUGCCAUCAUUUAGUUGGGCACUUUAACGAGACUGCCGGUGACAAACCGGAGGAAGGUGGGGAUGACGUCAAGUCCUCAUGGCCCUUAUGGGUAGGGCUUCACACGUCAUACAAUGGUCGGUACAAAGGGUUGCCAAGCCGCGAGGCGGAGCCAAUCCCAGAAAGCCGAUCGUAGUCCGGAUUGCAGGCUGCAACUCGCCUGCAUGAAGUCGGAAUCGCUAGUAAUCGUGGAUCAGCAUGUCACGGUGAAUACGUUCCCGGGUCUUGUACACACCGCCCGUCACACCAUGGGAGCGGGUUCCGCCAGAAGUAGGUAGCCUAACCGCAAGGGGGGCGCUUACCACGGCGGGGUUCGUGUCUGGGGUGAAGUCGGAACAAGGUAGCCGUAGGGGAACCUGCGUCUG